UAAUUCCCAGGCCCGGGUUCUUUCCACUAAGCCAUCCUGCUUCGGUUUGGAGAUGAUGCUAAUGAUGAUGAAAUCUGAUUCACGGCAGUGGCAAGAAUGAUGGAUGUGCAACAAAACCAGUGCAAGCUUGACGAUUAUAUUCCUCCCUUAACUACAACUUGAAAAAGGAAGCAUGGAGCUAGAUGAAAUAGCACCAGAAAUACAGAUAGUCUGGUGCGAUCAGAGACAAUAAAGCAAAAGGAUUCACAAACUACCUUUAAUGAGGAGCCAGGACGGUUGGUAAGAGGCAUCUCUGCUCUGGUCUGGUUAAAAGAAUGGGUUUAAGGGGGUUCUUUUCAACUCAAGUCAAGCCAGAAUGAUUGGAGGCAACACAUGCUUUUGUUUGCCAGAAGAACUGUAUGUGAAUUUGUCUAGAUUUCGAGUAGAACUGGGAUCGGGGGAAAGAAAAAUCAAUAAAAUGCCUUCAUGAACUGCUCUAGCUGAAAGUCAGUCUGCAAAUGGCUCAGGUAAAGAUCCCAAUUCACUCCUUUGCAAAGGAAAAAACUGAACGUGUUACCAUCAAUUCUCUCUAAAGAUGUACUCCAUGUAACCCUCCCACUGUUGAAGAGCCACCACACAAUCACUACUAGGACAAUCAUUCUAAGUAAUGAUGGAAUGGGAAAUCAUUUUUUUUUUCCAUGAUACUGGUUAGGCACUUAGGUGCCGGGCACCGUAUUUCAGCACUGGGUAGAUAGGUUAGACAUGAUCCCUGUCCCAGAUGGGGCUCAU